UGCGAACUCCUACGGGAGGCAGCAGUGGGGAAUUUUGGACAAUGGGGGCAACCCUGAUCCAGCAAUGCUGCGUGAGUGCGGAAGGCCUUCGGGUUGUAAAGCUCUUUUGUCAGGGAAGAAACGGUAGUAGCUAAUAUCUAUUACUAAUGACGGUACCUGAAGAAUAAGCACUGCCUAACUACGUGCCAGCAGCUGCGGUAAUACGUAGGGUGCAAGCGUUAAUCGGAAUUACUGGGCGUAAAGCGUGCGCAGGCGGUUGUGUAAGUCAGAUGUGAAAUCCCCGGGCUCAACCUGGGAAUUGCAUUUGAGACUGCACGGCUAGAGUGUGUCAGAGGGGGGUAGAAUUCCACGUGUAGCAGUGAAAUGCGUAGAUAUGUGGAGGAAUACCGAUGGCGAAGGCAGCCCCCUGGGAUAACACUGACGCUCAUGCACGAAAGCGUAGGGAGCAAACAGGAUUAGAAACCCGUGUAGUCCAGAUG
rnacentral:rRNA from 1 species